CUGGAUAGUGUAGGGGUCAGGGGGUUCGGCUCCCAGCUGAAAGGUUGUGGGUUCGAAUCCCGGUGUCCACA